UACGUAGGGUGCGAGCGUUGUCCGGAAUUAUUGGGCGUAAAGAGCUCGUAGGCGGUGUGUCACGUCGGCCGUGAAAACCUGCAGCUUAACUGUGAGCGUGCGGUCGAUACGGGCAUCACUGGAGUUCGGCAGGGGAGACUGGAAUUCCUGGUGUAGCGGUGAAAUGCGCAGAUAUCAGGAGGAACACCGGUGGCGAAGGCGGGUCUCUGGGCCGAUACUGACGCUGAGGAGCGAAAGCGUGGGGAGCGAACAGG
rnacentral:rRNA from 1 species